rnacentral:lncRNA from 1 species
AUAGAAAUCCAAAUGAAAAUAUUUGUAUCAUCCAAAAGUCCAGCAGAUCCGAGCAGGCUCGCGUUCUUCGCUACUGCUAUGACAGUGUUCGACGUUGUGUGCGUGUUGUGGCUUUUCAUAUCCCUCGGAAACUUCGUUUCAUUGAAUUCCUCUGCCAUAUCACCUCGAGAGGCUUCCUGCCCUAAAUGAACAUAACACAAUGUAUAAACGAACAUAAUACAAUUUCUAAUUGAACAGAUAUAUUCAAAUUUACUGGACGCAUGCAUAUCCCAAAAAAUCCAAACUUAUCAUUCAAUUUGAUGAAAAGAAAAUAACAGUGCAGAUUAGGGCCAAAGACUAGACAAUGGAGCUGGAACAAAUUUAUAAAAUAAAAUAGAAGAAUAGAAAGAUAAGGUGUGUUUCUUCCUCCUACUCUCACAAUAAUUCCUCAUUCUCGAAUUUCAUGGCGGAUCGGGAAUUAUGCAUUUUGUCGAUUGACCCCUGCAAAAGACUAGAUUUUGCAUUCUAAAUUUAUUCAACAAAUCAGAGUCGAUUUCGCGGCCAAACCCUCAAACCCCGAUCGACGAAGGUCACCUCCUCCAAGUCUGCACAAUCCUCUAAAUGAACAAGAUACUCCCUCUGUCCACGAAAAAGUGCCCUACUUACCCCUUUUUUUUGUCCACGCAAAAGUGUCCUGUUUACCUUUUUGUACAUUCAUACCAUUUACUUUUCAAUUUAUUUACAACUUAUGUCAUUAAUAAAUCCACACUUUUAUUUAAUCUAUGCAAUUAACACACACAAUUAACUCACUAAUUAAAACUACGAAACCAACUCCCCCACGCCUAAUCAAUCUCAUUUCCCCCAAAAUUAAAUUAUUCUUUCUCUGAACUCAAACAAGUGGAAGAAAUACACACAAACCCUCCCAAUUGUAUCUCUAAUUGUAUCUAUAGCCCGAUUUAAUGGCUUUUGGGCUAUGUGUGUUUGUUGAUUAGCUCAAUGGAAUAAUAAAUAUGUUCUGAAAAUUAACUCCACUUCACGUGUGAAUUCCGCACUACAAGAAAUUGAGUUUUUACCCACACAUAAUUACCCACACAUAAUAAUGUGUUGUAGUUUAGCCACACAUAAUUUCAAAAUGUGUAGGUGAUUCACACAAAAAAAUUUCAUUAGUUAUUGACAUUUAAAAUGUGUGGCAAAAAUUAUUUUCGUGACUAUUUAUUAUUUUACGGUUUAUUUUUAUGUAUAAUAAAAUUUAUUUUUAAAUUUGUUGUGCCAACGUGGCAAACUAGUAAAAGUUAUUAACCACACAUAAUUCUAAAUUAUCUAUGUGUGGGUAAUGAAUUUUUAUCAUUAUUUAUUCUUGACAUGUAAGAAACGUGAGAAAAUAUUUUUAGCUACAUUUAUAUUUUGGCUUUAAUCAAUUAUUUAUGCAAAUCUUAAUUGAUGUUUUACCCACACAUAAUUACCCACACACCUAUUUUGAAAAAUGUUAGGUGAAACAAUUUGAAACAUUCAAUUAGUUAUUGACAUUUAAAAUGUGUAACAGAAAAUUUAUUUGUAACAUUUAUUAUAUGGCGGUGAUUCUUUUUUAAGUUUUAUUUUAUUUAAUGAAGUUUAUUUUUAUAUUUGGUGUGCACCUCUAUUAAUUUUUUUAAACCACACAUAAUCUAUGUGUGGAUAAUAAUUUUUAUAUUUAUAUUUUGACAAAUUAAAGUAAAUUUAAUUUUAUUUUUAUAUAUUAGUGCCAACUAAUCAAUUGAUUUCUCUACAAUUAUACAAUAAAAUAAAAAUUAAAUAGUCUUUAACAUUAAAAUAGGCAUAAAAAAACAAGAAUGAAUAUGUUAAAAAAUAAAACACAAGAAUUAAAAUAGGCAUAAAAAUUAAAUACUAGUCUUUAACAUUAAAAUCGAACUCAAUAAAGAAUAGAAUUGUUUAAACUCUCAACAACUAAAAGACAAGAAAAUAUUAACAAACUAAUCAAUGUCAUUAGAACUACCCCUAUUGUAAUUUUUACCCCACUCAAAACAACUUUAUCAGUUUUCUUAGUACCCGUGCCGACACCCAAAUGGGGCACUUUUUCGUGGACGUAGGGAGUAUAAUUUUUAAUGAACAUAAUACAAUUUCUUAAUGAACAGAAAGGACAUCUAAUUAUUCAUUGAAGAGGAUUCUCCCAAUUUUCUCAAAUUCCAAAUCUUAAAUUUUAGGAAAUAGACAUCUAAUACAAUUCCAAAUUUUGUUCAUAGACCCAUCAAAAACUUCAGCUGUCAAAACAUGGAUGAGCACAACAUCUAAAGGAAACAGAUAGCACAUCAAGCCAAUUACUUUACUUCUCGCAAUCAGUUUUAUUCUACACAUUUACAAGAUGAAGAAUUUAAUGAUUUCAAAAAUCCAACCAAAACAAAUUUCGAACAUGAUUACAAAAACCCAACUAAAAAUUUCGAUCUUGUUUUGGAAAACCCAAAAAAAUUAAUCGAUUCAAAGCCCAUGAAAUCCAAAAAUAAAUUCGAAUAGAAAAAUCAGAAUAGAAAUCGCAUUACCUGUUUUAUUUCAGCCCAAACCUCGUCUUCAACGUCGAGAUUUGCAUAGAAAGAGGCUAGUGAUUUUGCAGAGAAGGUGAGAGACGGCUGUGAGGUUGAGAGAGAGAGAGAGAGGUGAACGUGAGGAGGGAUUUUAGGACUUGCAGUUUUUAACCCAAAAUGU